AUGAACGCUAGCUACAGGCUUAACACAUGCAAGUCGAGGGGCAUCAGGAAGAAAGCUUGCUUUCUUUGCUGGCGACCGGCGCACGGGUGAGUAACACGUAUCCAACCUGCCCUUUACUCGGGGAUAGCCUUUCGAAAGAAAGAUUAAUACCCGAUAGCAUAAUGAUUCCGCAUGGUUUCAUUAUUAAAGGAUUCCGGUAAAGGAUGGGGAUGCGUUCCAUUAGGUUGUUGGUGAGGUAACGGCUCACCAAGCCUUCGAUGGAUAGGGGUUCUGAGAGGAAGGUCCCCCACAUUGGAACUGAGACACGGUCCAAACUCCUACGGGAGGCAGCAGUGAGGAAUAUUGGUCAAUGGGCGCUAGCCUGAACCAGCCAAGUAGCGUGAAGGAUGAAGGCUCUAUGGGUCGUAAACUUCUUUUAUAUAAGAAUAAAGUGCAGUAUGUAUACUGUUUUGUAUGUAUUAUAUGAAUAAGGAUCGGCUAACUCCGUGCCAGCAGCCGCGGUAAUACGGAGGAUCCGAGCGUUAUCCGGAUUUAUUGGGUUUAAAGGGAGCGUAGGUGGACUGGUAAGUCAGUUGUGAGAGUUUGCGGCUCAACCGUAAAAUUGCAGUUGAUACUGUCAGUCUUGAGUACAGUAGAGGUGGGCGGAAUUCGUGGUGUAGCGGUGAAAUGCUUAGAUAUCACGAAGAACUCCGAUUGCGAAGGCAGCUCACUGGACUGCAACUGACACUGAUGCUCGAAAGUGUGGGUAUCAAACAGGAUUAGAUACCCUGGUAGUCCACACAGUAAACGAUGAAUACUCGCUGUUUGCGAUAUACAGUAAGCGGCCAAGCGAAAGCAUUAAGUAUUCCACCUGGGGAGUACGCCGGCAACGGUGAAACUCAAAGGAAUUGACGGGGGCCCGCACAAGCGGAGGAACAUGUGGUUUAAUUCGAUGAUACGCGAGGAACCUUACCCGGGCUUAAAUUGCAGUGGAAUGAUGUGGAAACAUGUCAGUGAGCAAUCACCGCUGUGAAGGUGCUGCAUGGUUGUCGUCAGCUCGUGCCGUGAGGUGUCGGCUUAAGUGCCAUAACGAGCGCAACCCUUAUCUUCAGUUACUAACAGGUCAUGCUGAGGACUCUGGAGAGACUGCCGUCGUAAGAUGUGAGGAAGGUGGGGAUGACGUCAAAUCAGCACGGCCCUUACGUCCGGGGCUACACACGUGUUACAAUGGGGGGUACAGAAGGCAGCUAGCGGGUGACCGUAUGCUAAUCCCAAAAUCCUCUCUCAGUUCGGAUCGAAGUCUGCAACCCGACUUCGUGAAGCUGGAUUCGCUAGUAAUCGCGCAUCAGCCACGGCGCGGUGAAUACGUUCCCGGGCCUUGUACACACCGCCCGUCAAGCCAUGGGAGCCGGGGGUACCUGAAGUACGUAACCGCAAGGAUCGUCCUAGGGUAAAACUGGUGACUGGGGCU
rnacentral:rRNA from 1 species